UGGUGGAGCGAUUUGUCUGGUUUAUUCCGAUAACGAGCGAGACGCACCCCUACUUAAUACACCGCGAAUAAUUUCGUUCGCAGGUGUUCUUAGAGGAAUUGGCGGUAUCGAGCCGCACGAAAGUGCGCAAUAACA
rnacentral:rRNA from 1 species